rnacentral:lncRNA from 1 species
CACAGCUAAGAAUACUGAUCUCAUAGUAGCUAAGAAUGACAAGUAAUACAACGUCAAGUUCUUUAUGGGAGGAUAUUUUUGUUGAGCCAAUAUACCAGGAUAUACCAGGUCAUGGGUGGGAACCGCAGACAGUUGUGGAUAGACAAGGUGACGAGGUUGAGGCAGGAAUGGUGAAGGAUAAAGAGAGACGUAGGGAGAAAAAAGAUUUGAUCGGCUGGUGUAUAAAUGCGUUAAGUGAGAAAGCCAAGUACCCGAUAUUCUCUCCAAAGCCCAGAAUGAGGUCACGACGGUCAAUGCUUAAAGAUGAAGGUAAG